AGCGGCGGACGGGUGAGUAACACGUGGGUAACCUGCCCAAGAGACUGGGAUAACACCUGGAAACAGAUGCUAAUACCGGAUAACAACACUAGACGCAUGUCUAGAGUUUGAAAGAUGGUUCUGCUAUCACUCUUGGAUGGACCUGCGGUGCAUUAGCUAGUUGGUAAGGUAACGGCUUACCAAGGCAAUGAUGCAUAGCCGAGUUGAGAGACUGAUCGGCCACAUUGGGACUGAGACACGGCCCAAACUCCUACGGGAGGCAGCAGUAGGGAAUCUUCCACAAUGGACGAAAGUCUGAUGGAGCAACGCCGCGUGAGUGAAGAAGGGUUUCGGCUCGUAAAGCUCUGUUGGUAGUGAAGAAAGAUAGAGGUAGUAACUGGCCUUUAUUUGACGGUAAUUACUUAGAAAGUCACGGCUAACUACGUGCCAGCAGCCGCGGUAAUACGUAGGUGGCAAGCGUUGUCCGGAUUUAUUGGGCGUAAAGCGAGUGCAGGCGGUUCAAUAAGUCUGAUGUGAAAGCCUUCGGCUCAACCGGAGAAUUGCAUCAGAAACUGUUGAACUUGAGUGCAGAAGAGGAGAGUGGAACUCCAUGUGUAGCGGUGGAAUGCGUAGAUAUAUGGAAGAACACCAGUGGCGAAGGCGGCUCUCUGGUCUGCAACUGACGCUGAGGCUCGAAAGCAUGGGUAGCGAACAGGAUUAGAUACCCUGGUAGUCCAUGCCGUAAACGAUGAGUGCCAAGUGU
rnacentral:rRNA from 1 species